rnacentral:tRNA from 2 species
GUGGCUAUAGUACAACGGUUAGUACAUCGGGUUGUGGUCCCGAUGAACUGGGUUCGAUUCCCAGUAGCCACCCCA